UGGUAUUGAUUGGUGCUUGCAUCAUGAUUUACGUUUGCGUGAGUGGCGAACUGGUGAGUAACACGUGGGAAACCUGCCCAGAAGCGGGGGAUAACACCUGGAAACAGAUGCUAAUACCGCAUAACAACUUGGACCGCAUGGUCCGAGUUUGAAAGAUGGCUUCGGCUAUCACUUUUGGAUGGUCCCGCGGCGUAUUAGCUAGAUGGUGGGGUAACGGCUCACCAUGGCAAUGAUACGUAGCCGACCUGAGAGGGUAAUCGGCCACAUUGGGACUGAGACACGGCCCAAACUCCUACGGGAGGCAGCAGUAGGGAAUCUUCCACAAUGGACGAAAGUCUGAUGGAGCAACGCCGCGUGAGUGAAGAAGGGUUUCGGCUCGUAAAACUCUGUUGUUAAAGAAGAACAUAUCUGAGAGUAACUGUUCAGGUAUUGACGGUAUUUAACCAGAAAGCCACGGCUAACUACGUGCCAGCAGCCGCGGUAAUACGUAGGUGGCAAGCGUUGUCCGGAUUUAUUGGGCGUAAAGCGAGCGCAGGCGGUUUUUUAAGUCUGAUGUGAAAGCCUUCGGCUCAACCGAAGAAGUGCAUCGGAAACUGGGAAACUUGAGUGCAGAAGAGGACAGUGGAACUCCAUGUGUAGCGGUGAAAUGCGUAGAUAUAUGGAAGAACACCAGUGGCGAAGGCGGCUGUCUGGUCUGUAACUGACGCUGAGGCUCGAAAGUAUGGGUAGCAAACAGGAUUAGAUACCCUGGUAGUCCAUACCGUAAACGAUGAAUGCUAAGUGUUGGAGGGUUUCCGCCCUUCAGUGCUGCA
rnacentral:rRNA from 1 species